CGGCUGCUCUUGGAUACUAAAAUCUAUGUCAUUUAAUAUGAAUGUAUUAACAGGUGACUGAAAGUUCUUGUGUGUUAUCCAGUAGUAAUAAUUUCACAAUUUACAAUUUGGCCAUGUCUUACUGUGAUGGUUUACAUGCAGGGAAAACAGUAACCCAAACUAUCUUCGUAAGAGUUAAAUUCAGUGCUAUUGUGCAAGUACUAUGAUCAAAUGAGUUAAAGCCAGAUUGCAGCAUGCAUAUCCUUGUCUGCUUGUUGCAAGUGUUGUAAGGUGCAGAGCUCCUGGCUACUGAGACCUGAAAUGGAUCUCAGGAUGAGCAUUUUCUUUAGGGAAGCUCUACUCCUUGUCAUGGAAACUAAGUUAAAAAUUGUGUAGGAGGGGACUGGAAUUUGUUCUGCUUGCCCUUAAACUGGAAUAGUGCAGUGGCAGCAAAACACCUCUUGUGUUGAGCAGGAGGAUCUGUGUUGUUGCUUACACAUGUGCUACCCUAGAAAGUAAUCAUUUUUGCCACUUACCUUGGGCAGUGAUGCUCGGGAACCGGAGCUCUGAGUGGUCAUAGUGAGCACGGUGGUGAUCCCCAGGCCAACACGAGCAGGUGCAGCAUCCAUGUUGAUCCAGAAGGAGAUCCAGGACAGAAUGACAAUGAGGAGGCUGGGGAUGUACAUCUGGAUCAAAUAAUAACCCAUCUGCCGCUCCAGGGAGAAGCCAGUGAAGACUGAACAGGAAAGGAGUUGCAGACGGGGAUGGAGAAGGUGUGGAAAGGGGAGAGGAGAAACACAUUGUCUCUUCCUGAAAAUGGAGAGGUGCACAGGACUCACAGCUUUCUAACUGCAUGAUGCAUGUCUGUACAUCCAUGGGGAAGUUUUUCAGGUCCAUGGGGCAGGCCAGAGUCAGCGUGAUCCUAAGGAGAGAAGACAGCACAGGGCAGUGAUGUACAGUUUGUGGAACUGAUGAGGGAAUGAACCCUCUCAGACGCCAAAUGUUGCAUACAGGCUGGUAACUUGUCUGGUGUGAUGGAGGGAAUGACUGAUUAUUCACUUCUUUCCUGCCUGUGCUUUCACACAUGCUGUUGGAAACCAUCAGAAAUGCCAAGAAUUUGGGUCUGUGAAAUAAUUCCUGGCAGGGACUGAUGAAACGACAGGUGCUGUUUCACUGUAAUACUAUCUUGGACUGUGCAGAAGAGAAUGCUCCCACAUCAAAGUUUUGCUGCCUCUGCCUUCAUUUCUUGCCUUGGGCUCACAACAGUCUGGAUUAUCAGAGAGCCCAAACCUAUCCUCUGGGCCCAACAUACAUUUUUUUAGAGACUGACACUGUUUGGAAAUCUCUGAACACAACUUUUCUGUAUCAGAAUAAACAAAGAACUUUGGUCAAGAUCACAGAUCUCUGUGGGAGGAAUGAGAGAUUUGGGUGUAAUUUUCUGCAAGGAAAAUGCCCUUUGGCAAGUCAGUGUGGCUGUAUCUUUCUGAAUUCCCACUGUGCCUCUUGAGACCUCUAGCUUCAUCUUUCCACCAGGUGCUGGCUGCAUUUCCCAUGGCAAGCUGCGAUGCUGUCCUGUACCUCAAUCUAUGUUCAAAAUGUUUGCUUAGUUCAGCAGGCUGAUAUUAAAUGAUUUCAUUCAGA
rnacentral:lncRNA from 1 species